UGAGGAAUAUUGGUCAAUGGACGCAAGUCUGAACCAGCCAAGUAGCGUGCAGGAUGACGGCCCUAUGGGUUGUAAACUGCUUUUAUAUGGGGAUAAAGUGGGGAACGUGUUCCCUUUUGCAGGUACCAUAUGAAUAAGGACCGGCUAAUUCCGUGCCAGCAGCCACGGUAAUACGGAAGGUUCGGGCGUUAUCCGGAUUUAUUGGGUUUAAAGGGAGCGUAGGCCGUUUGGUAAGCGUGUUGUGAAAUGUAGGAGCUCAACUUCUAGAUUGCAGCGCGAACUGUCAGACUUGAGUGCGCACAACGUAGGCGGAAUUCAUGAUGUAGCGGUGAAAUGCUUAGAUAUCAUGAAGAACUCCGAUUGCGAAGGCAGCUUACGGGAGCGCAACUGACGCUGAAGCUCGAAGGUGCGGGUAUCGAACAGG
rnacentral:rRNA from 1 species